AACAUCGCGCACCUGCGGGAACCUGCGGAAGGAUCAUUACCGAGUUUACAACUCCCAAACCCCUGUGAACAUACCACUUGUUGCCUCGGCGGAUCAGCCCGCUCCCGGUAAAACGGGACGGCCCGCCAGAGGACCCCUAAACUCUGUUUCUAUAUGUAACUUCUGAGUAAAACCAUAAAUAAAUCAAAACUUUUAACAAUGGAUCU
rnacentral:misc_RNA from 1 species